UGAAUAGUGAUGAACGGAAGAGUACGCUAACGCGACUGUUCAGAGAGGAAGCCCCUGGCUGCAAGGUUUCUCAGUGCGCAAGCUGAAGGUCAUCCGGGAGCUGCUGUGUUGAAAAAUUUUAGUAGGUACAGCCGGUUUUGCCACGUAAUGGCAAUGUGAGUGUCUGGCUGUAGUUUAUGCCGGAAACAAAGGUGGUAUCGCGGAAGAAACCAAGGUUCUUUCGUCCUUAGA
rnacentral:ncRNA from 1 species